rnacentral:rRNA from 1 species
GAUGAACGCUGGCGGCGUGCCUAAUACAUGCAAGUCGAGCGAACGGACGAGAAGCUUGCUUCUCUGAUGUUAGCGGCGGACGGGUGAGUAACACGUGGAUAGCCUACCUAUAAGACUGGGAUAACUUCGGGAAACCGGAGCUAAUACCGGAUAAUAUUUUGAACCGCAUGGUUCAAAAGUGAAAGACGGUCUUGCUGUCACUUAUAGAUGGAUCCGCGCUGCAUUAGCUAGUUGGUAAGGUAACGGCUUACCAAGGCAACGAUGCAUAGCCGACCUGAGAGGGUGAUCGGCCACCCUGGAACUGAGACACGGUCCAGACUCCUACGGGAGGCAGCAGUAGGGAAUCUUCCGCAAUGGGCGAAAGCCUGACGGAGCAACGCCGCGUGAGUGAUGAAGGUCUUCGGAUCGUAAAACUCUGUUAUUAGGGAAGAACAUAUGUGUAAGUAACUGUGCACAUCUUGACGGUACCUAAUCAGAAAGCCACGGCUAACUACGUG